AUACGGAGGGUGCAAGCGUUACUCGGAAUCACUGGGCGUAAAGCGCGCGCAUGCGGCUAUUUAAGUUGGAUGUGAAAGCCUACGGCUCAACCGUAGAACUGCAUCCAAAACUAUUUAGCUAGAGUGUGGGAGAGGAAGAUGGAAUUAGUUGUGUAGGGGUAAAAUCCGUAGAGAUAACUAGGAAUACCAAAAGCGAAGGCAAUCUUCUGGAACACUACUGACGCUGAGGCGCGAAAGCGUGGGGAGCAAAUGGGAUUAGAAACCCUAGUAGUCC
rnacentral:rRNA from 1 species